rnacentral:rRNA from 1 species
GAUGAACGCUGGCGGCGUGCCUAAUACGUGCAAGUCGAGCGAAUGGAUGAGAGCUUGCUCUCAGAAGUUAGCGGCGGACGGGUGAGUAACACGUGGGUAACCUGCCCUUAAGACUGGGAUAACAUCGAGAAAUCGGUGCUAAUACCGGAUAAUUUAUUUGACCGCAUGGUUGAAUAAUGAAAGGUGGCGUAAGCUACCACUUAUGGAUGGACCCGCGGCGUGUUAGCUAGUUGGUGAGGUAAUGGCUCACCAAGGCAACGAUACGUAGCCGACCUGAGAGGGUGAUCGGCCACACUGGGACUGAGACACGGCCCAGACUCCUACGGGAGGCAGCAGUAGGGAAUCUUCCGCAAUGGACGAAAGGCUGACGGAGCAACGCCGCGUGAGUGAUGAAGGCUUUCGGGUCGUAAAACUCUGUUGUUAGGGAAGAACAAGUGCCGUUCGAAUAGGGCGACACCUUGACGGUACCUAACCAGAAAGCCACGGCUAACUACGUGCCAGCAGCCGCAGUAAGAC